UGACUCCAAGAUUUACGUGUUUCUACCAUAUACGCCUUAUCUUUUAAUUUAAUUUAUUUUUUUACUUAUUGUGCUUUCUUCCUCUAAUGUAAUUCCAGACAUUGGUUAAUCAUAAAAAAAAUAAAAGUAAAAAAAAAAUCUGAGUAAGGAAGCCCUCUGUUCAGCAAAGAGGCUUCUCUCGUUCCUUAAUCCCUCCUCCUCCUCCUUCUCUCUUAAGCCAGCUGUUUUCUUCUUCCUCUUCUUCAUCUCUUUCUUCUUCUACUACUCUCUCUCUCUUUUGCUCGCUUUCAAAAUUCCUCAAAACCAUCCUCCGUUAAUCGCCAGCAUUGUCUUUCUUACCGAUCUGACUAUCUCAGCAUUCGAAAUCUCCGGCGUUAAAGCCUGAUCUUAAGCUUAUAUCGUUCGUGAUUCCGUCGGUGGAAAGCUUU